ACCCGGCUAAGUGAAUCAUAGAAUAUUAAGCACUACACCAUGACUUAAGAUUAGAUUCAAGGAGACCUAUUAAGAAUAGAAUUUCUUGUAGGCUUUGUGGACCAAGGGGAUUAGCACUGCUUUCCCAAGACAGGUUAUGUGAUUAUGAUCUUCAGGCUUUGCCUAUCCAGGUUGGCUGGCUGGUGCUGACGGGACGGAGCUGAGGCUAGAGUUAAAAUUCAUAUGUUAGACUUCCGCUGUAGCAAUUACUCUUAUACAUCUUUUGUUUUCUCAACUUAAGAUGACUUCAUGUCGAGCUUAAAUUUGAAAUUCUAGUUUUAUGCUAAUGAAUGUUGGUUGUCAGAAACAUGAAACAAAACUUGUGAUCCAAAGGGGCAUAGCCCGACUUUCUAUCCUAUUUUGGGUUUUAACGAGGUA